GAGCUAAUGAUAACUACGGCACAAGUUUAUGAUAUGCAAAUUGUGACGGAAGGAAAUACAUCCUUUACGAAGGAAACGAACGAUACGAAAGAGAUUUUAUUCAGAAGCUUGUCAAACAGAUUCCGAUUACAGUUGGAGUCCAGAGAGAUCAAAAUCUCAAGUUACGAGCAAAACAACGAUUCUUAGAUCUGACUUCAGUCCUGAAAUCCGCGUGGGCUUUCAUAGAUCUGUUUCGCUCCAACAGAGGCUCUGGGGUGGAUCUGAUUUAGAGGCUGGACUUCUGACGUGGAGCUCACCAAUACUUUGUACAGACACAGCAAUCUUAAGGUCGUGUUCGCACAAGUUAUCUCUACUGAAGGAGCAUCGAGGAAAAGGGAAAGCAAAAUCGACCAAUCGAGAGAAGAAACAAGAAAAAGCAUCCCUUUCGCGAAAAAAGUACAAGCAGGCAAUUAUGAGAGUCGAUGAUGCCGAACUGACCGGUGAACAAUCCGAAUACGCAGAGCACACAGAUGUCAAAUAUACAAAAUUAAAGAAGAAAAAAAUCAAGAAGAAAGGAUUGGGGAAGCAAUCCCUGGAGAUCCCUCAAAAAGCCUUAAGAAAAGGAGGCUCAGCAUCAAGCUCUUCUAAUUCAGGCGGCGUUAGUAAAGCAGAAAUCAUGAAAAUCCAAAAUCAGAUGCCAGAAGAUGAUAAAGCGACUAGAAGCAGGAAGAAGAAAAAGCAGAGGUUUGUCAACAUUCAUCGCAAAAUCCGUAAAAUCAUCGACGCUGUUACAACGUCCAAUGGAGACCGAUCGGUCUGCUCAAAUGAAGAUUAUAAACCCAUAUGAUAGAAUAUUAGCAUAAUUUUCAUGACUCACACGAUAUGCGUACUGCCUUUAGUUAUCUAAACUGACCAAUUUAUACAUUGUAACAAGUUAAGAGAACGGCAACGAAAAUGAAUGAAUGAAAAGUGGUUAAAGUAUAUUCCCACAUUUUAUCUCAAACCUGUCAUCUAUUGUAAAUUGAUUUCUCUGUAUAUAUCUCAAAGUCUCCUUUUCUUUUUUUAAAAAAAUCUCCAAAUAAAAUUCUCUUUUUCUGA
rnacentral:lncRNA from 1 species